AGCACAAAACAGAGAUUUGAGCAUCGCUGAUGAACAUGUCCUCUUGUCGAUAGUUCAAUUUUGAAGAACUGGAAAAUCUAUUAAUCCGGUCGAUUUCUUGAUCUACCUCGCUAGGUAAUCUGAUUUCAUUUCAGAUUCUUCGUCGGAUUUUUGUGUUGAUUUUUGCCUGUCAGGAUUGUUUGAUGACGGAGACGAUGAGGAUGGGGAUUAGUGCGGCGACGUUGUUGGUGGCUCUGAUCGUCGUUGCUCGCGUCGACUUGGGAUCGACUUCUCCUUCUAAUGUGCCUGCUCUCCUCUGGUCUCCACAUCUCUAACCUGCUAAUGGUGAAUUGGAUGAGGCUGUAAAUUAUCAAGUCAUGUCUGGAAAGGAUCUUGUAAAUUCUGUUCUCAAUCAAGGAGGUUGGUCAAACUUUUUGUGCUCGGAGAAGAAAUUGCAGCACACUGUUGAUCUUGCACUUGUGUUCAUUGGCAAAGAGCUACUCUCUUCUGACGUUUCUUUGAAGCGGAACUCAGACCCAACCCUUGUUGGCACGUGAAGCUUCCAACUUCUCGCUGGCAUUCCCAUUUAUUGUUGCGCCGGAGGAGGAAAGGAUGAAAAAUUUAUUGCUUUCGAGACUCGUAGAAGCUUGCUCUCGCACUUUUGGAGUCAGCGAUGUUGUGUUCUCAGAGUCCUGCUUUGUCAAUGAUGGAAGGGUUCAGAAGCUAGCAAACUUGCAGUCUUUCAAAUAGGAUCAUUUGCUUGUUAGAAGAGAAAUGAGAAAAGAAGGGGAAACUGACAUGUUUGUGCUAUGCUGUGAGGGUUCUGAAUUAUCUGGUCCAAAUGACGAGUCGGCUCAGAGGGUGAAAUCAUCUCCGAACUUGCCAAUUCUGUGGAGCAGUCUGGAACUAAAUAUGCAGCACUUUAUGUUUCUGAUCCCUACCGAUAUACUUCUUACCAAACCCUCUAGAGGUUUCUGGCCGAAGGGGCUGCAGGAAACAACUCAGUCAAUGCCACGACAAC